UGCGUUCACUAUUGUAAGUCGCUCUGGAUAAGAGCGUCUGCUAAAUGACUAAAA
rfam:Salmo salar isolate Sally breed double haploid chromosome ssa19, whole genome shotgun sequence.